rnacentral:lncRNA from 1 species
GUACUCAAAUCAGACAAGAGCUCCAUCAGUGAAGAUAUGUGUGGCAUGAUAGAAAGAUCUGAGGAAGGAUCAGAGAAAGUACUCAGUGGAGUCUGGCGAUACUGUUGCUGCUGCUGCUGCUACACCAACUGGAGGAUCUACUGCUGAAACUGGUGAGACUGCUAAAGAAGCUAUUCCUGAAAUCAUUGCUAUUGAAUAGAUAGAAUCUGCACC